rnacentral:rRNA from 1 species
GUGGGGAAUAUUGCGCAAUGGGGGAAACCCUGACGCAGCAACGCCGCGUGAGUGAUGAAGGCCUUCGGGUCGUAAAGCUCUGUCAGGUGGGAAGAAUAGACUGGUUCUGAAUAGGGGCCGGUUUUGACGGUACCGCCAAAGGAAGCACCGGCUAACUCCGUGCCAGCAGCCGCGGUAAUACGGAGGGUGCAAGCGUUGUUCGGAAUUAUUGGGCGUAAAGCGCGUGUAGGCGGCCCUUUAAGUCAGGUGUGAAAGACCUUAGCUCAACUGAGGAAUGUCACCUGAAACUAUAGGGCUUGAGUACGGGAGAGGAGAGUGGAAUUCCCGGUGUAGAGGUGAAAUUCGUAGAUAUCGGGAGGAACACCCGUGGCGAAGGCGACUCUCUGGACCGAUACUGACGCUGAGACGCGAAAGCGUGGGGAGCAAACAGGAUUAGAUACCCGGGUAGUCC